UGACUCUAACCUUCGUGGGCUCCAGUC
rnacentral:sRNA from 1 species